rnacentral:rRNA from 1 species
CCCAUUUUUGCGAUAACACGCAAUCAAUACAACUUUCAACACGGGAUCUCUUGGCUCUCGCAUCGAUGAAGAACGCAGCGAAAUGCGAUACGUAAUGUGAAUUGCAGAAUUCAGUGAAUCAUCGAAUCUUUGAACGCACCUUGCGCCCCUUGGUAUUCCGAGGGGCACACCCGUUUGAGUGUCGUGAAAAUCUCAACCUCCUUGGUUUCUUCUGGACACCGAAGGAGGCUUGGACUUUGGAGGCCUUUGCUGGCAUCUCUCGCCAGCUCCUCUCAAAUGAAUUAGCGGGGUCCUCUUUGCCGAUCCUCGACGUGUGAUAAGAUGUUUCCAUGUCUUGGUUUCUGGCUCUGUUGCUUUUGGGACCCGCUUCUAACCGUCUCAACCCGAGACAAUGUUUGGGCGUGUCUCCCUUCUCGGGAAACACCCUCAAGCCCACGAACCCUUGACCUCAAAUCGGGUGAGACUACCCGCUGAACUUAAGCAUAUCAAUAAGCGGAGGAAAAGAAACUAACAAGGAUUCCCCUAGUAACUGCGAGUGAAGCGGGAAAAGCUCAAAUUUAAAAUCUGGCGGUCUUUGGCCGUCCGAGUUGUAAUUUAGAGAAGCGUCUUCCGUGC